UCCUCGUUAGUAAUAGUGGUCAGUAUCCCCGCCUGUUCACGCGGGAGACCCGUGGUUCAAUUCCCCGACGGGGAGA
rnacentral:tRNA from 1 species